rnacentral:rRNA from 4 species
UGGAUUGGUGCCUUCGGGAACUGUGAGACAGGUGCUGCAUGGCUGUCGUCAGCUCGUGUUGUGAAAUGUUGGGUUAAGUCCCGCAACGAGCGCAACCCUUAUCCUUUGUUGCCAGCGAUUAGGUCGGGAACUCAAAGGAGACUGCCAGUGAUAAACUGGAGGAAGGUGGGGAUGACGUCAAGUCAUCAUGGCCCUUACGACCAGGGCUACACACGUGCUACAAUGGCGCAUACAAAGAGAAGCGACCUCGCGAGAGCAAGCGGACCUCAUAAAGUGCGUCGUAGUCCGGAUUGGAGUCUGCAACUCGACUCCAUGAAGUCGGAAUCGCUAGUAAUCGUGGAUCAGAAUGCCACGGUGAAUACGUUCCCGGGCCUUGUACACACCGCCCGUCACACCAUGGGAGUGGGUUGCAAAAGAAGUAGGUAGCUUAACCUUCGGGAGGGCGCUUACCACUUUGUGAUUCAUGACUGGGGUGAAGUCGUAACAAGGUAACCGUAGGGGAACCUGCGGUUGGA